rnacentral:rRNA from 1 species
UGCGAGUCGAGCGCUUCCCUUCGGGGAGGAGCGGCGGACGGGUUAGUAACGCGUGGGAACAUACCCUUCACUAUGGAAUAGCCUCGGGAAACUGGGAGUAAUACCAUAUACGCCCUUCGGGGGAAAGAUUUAUCGGUGAAGGAUUGGCCCGCGUAAGAUUAGAUAGUUGGUGGGGUAAUGGCCUACCAAGUCUACGAUCUUUAGCUGGUUUGAGAGGAUGAUCAGCAACACUGGGACUGAGACACGGCCCAGACUCCUACGGGAGGCAGCAGUGGGGAAUCUUAGACAAUGGGCGAAAGCCUGAUCUAGCCAUGCCGCGUGAGUGACGAAGGCCUUAGGGUCGUAAAGCUCUUUCGCCAGAGAUGAUAAUGACAGUAUCUGGUAAAGAAACCCCGGCUAACUCCGUGCCAGCAGCCGCGGUAAUACGGAGGGGGUUAGCGUUGUUCGGAAUUACUGGGCGUAAGGCGCACGUAGCCGGAUAAGUAGUUUAGAGGUGAAAUCCCAGGGCUCAACCCUGGAACUGCCUUUAAUACUGCUAGCCUGGAGUCCCAAAA